GACGAACGCUGGCGGCGUGCUUAACACAUGCAAGUCGAGCGGUAAGGCCCUUUCGGGGGUACACGAGCGGCGAACGGGUGAGUAACACGUGGGUGACCUGCCCUCAGCUCUGGGAUAAGCCUGGGAAACCGGGUCUAAUACUGGAUAUGACUCCAUGACGCAUGUUGUGGGGUGGAAAGCCUUGUGCGGCUGAGGAUGGGCCCGCGGCCUAUCAGCUUGUUGGUGGGGUGAUGGCCUACCAAGGCGACGACGGGUAGCCGGCCUGAGAGGGCGACCGGCCACACUGGGACUGAGACACGGCCCAGACUCCUACGGGAGGCAGCAGUGGGGGAAUCUUGCGCAAUGGGCGAAAGCCUGACGCAGCGACGCCGCGUGAGGGAU
rnacentral:rRNA from 1 species